rnacentral:rRNA from 1 species
AUACAGAGGGUGCAAGCGUUAAUCGGAAUUACUGGGCGUAAAGAGCACGUAGGCGGUUUGAUUAGUCAGAUGUGAAAGCCCUGGGCUCAACCUGGGAACUGCAUUUGAAACUGUCAAGCUAGAGUAUGGUAGAGGGUAGUGGAAUUCCAGGUGUAGCGGUGAAAUGCGUAGAUAUCUGGAGGAACAUCAGUGGCGAAGGCGGCUACCUGGACCAAUACUGACGCUGAGGUGCGAAAGCGUGGGGAGCAAACAGGAUUAGAAACCCCAGUAGUCC